rnacentral:rRNA from 1 species
GACAGAGGCCCCAAGCGUUAGGCGGAAUCACUGGGCUUAAAGCGUGUGUAGGCGGACGCCUAAGUGUCUUGUGAAAUCCCACGGCUCACCCGCGGAACUGCUGGGCAUACUGGGCGUCUUGGGCCAACUAGGGGCAGCCGGAACAAGCGGUGGAGCGGUGAAAUGCGUAGAUAUCCUGAGGAACGCCGGUGGCGAAAGCGGCGUGCUGGACACCUUCUGACGCUGAGGCGCGAAAGCCAGGGGAGCAAACGGG